rnacentral:rRNA from 1 species
AGCAGCCGCGGUAAUUCCAGCUCCAAUAGCGUAUAUUAAAGUUGCUGCAGUUAAAAAGCUCGUAGUUGAAUUUCGGGACCAUCAUGUUGGUCGUGCCUCGGUACGUACUGGCAUUGUUGGUUUCUCCCUUCUGACGAACCAUGAUGUCAUUUAUUUGGUGUCGUGGGAAAUCAGGACUGUUACUUUGAAAAAAUUAGAGUGUUUAAAGCAGGCUAACGCUUGAAUACAUUAGCAUGGAAUAAUGAAAUAGGACGUUUGAUCCUAUUUUGUUGGUUUCUAGGAUCGACGUAAUGAUUAAUAGGGAUAGUUGGGGGCAUUAGUAUUCAAUUGUCAGAGGUGAAAUUCUUGGAUUUAUUGAAGACUAACUACUGCGAAAGCAUUUGCCAAGGAUGUUUUCAUUAAUCAAGAACGAAAGUUAGGGGAUCGAAGACGAUCAGAUACCGUCGUAGUCUUAACCAUAAACUAUGCCGACUAGGGAUCGGAUGAUGUUAAUUUUUUCAAUGACUCAUUCGGCGCCUUA